rnacentral:ncRNA from 1 species
AAAAAGAGGAAGGAUUUGACUGAUUGCAACCUCUUGUUGUCACAUCCGAAAAUAAGGUUAGUUCGCCGGCAACAUAAAAAAUGCUAAAGCAGUU